rnacentral:lncRNA from 1 species
UAUUUUUAGAAAAAUACUUAUUAUACAACUCGAUUUCAUUUCAAAUGCGUCUUAUAAUAAGACAUUUUGUGUUCUAUAAUGAUCUUUACAAUAAUGUCAUCUUGGUUUUGAAGGUAACAACCCCUAAUCUUUGGAUACUUCUCCAUCUAGCAAAUUCAUUUUCAUAUUCUAUCUUUUUAAAUUUGACAAUAUUAGUUGUUGUUUUUUCUUAACAAGUAUUCUCUUUUGAUUUCAUUGAAUCUUCUGAUGUUACUUCUAUAGGAUUUACAUUCAUAUCGAUUUUCGAAUUACUUCUCGAAAUCGAGAUCGAACUCAUAGAUCUAGGACGAUAUAUUCUGUUCUUUGGCAUUCUUUGGUUGUGAUCGUCAUCUCCUUCACCCUCAUCAAGAACUUUACAUCUCUCUCCAAGUAUAAUUGGUCUUACCAGAAUCGAAUUCUCUGCCUUCGGUUUCUUUUCCUUUACAGAUUUAUCCUCCAACCCAUCACGUUUUAGGGCCAUUGACAACGAUCUUGGCAUUUGGAUUGUCAGGCUAGCACUCAGUUUCUUCCUAGUAGACAUAGAUUUUCUUAACAUCAUAUUGUUACACGAAUAUGUUUCCCGUAACGCUUCUUUUCUCGCAGGAGGCAACGGAAGAUCAGCGUUCGCGAUACUAUUACCAUCCUUAGAUGCAUUGGUAUCACGAUCAUCGGCUUCCUUAUGCUGCAAGUCAUCGCUUUCCUUGUGUUCCAAGUCAUUGCUUGUUUGUUCUCUUGUUGUAGUCUCAAGAGGAGAUGACUGCCUCCCCGUCUGGACCGUCCCAAUAGGCAGAUUUUUUUUUUGCUUGAAACAACAAAGACCGGUGAAUAAGGCGAUGAAAGCAGUCAUCUUGCUUGAACAUACAUAAAGAUUAUAAUAGAAUCGAAAUUGUGUGAACAAGCAUAAAGGUAAAAUUGAACUUUUUGUGGUUUUUAAUCCUUUGGUGUCUGUUUGUGAAGUCUUUUUAGCUUUGAAAAGGCGAGUUAAAUUGCUGGAAUUAAGGUGAUUUUUAGUUUCUCAAGUAUAAAGAUUUGGUUAUGGAUGUCUUUCUAAUUAUAGGUUCAAAAAAAAAAGAAUAACCAAAAAAACUACUUCUCAUAGUUUUUGUUAGGUAAGGGUUUAACGUUAACCACUAAACAUAUGUAACUUCUUUGAACAAUUUAGGGUCCAAUGUAUUACCAUUGGUUGUUUUUUCUAGGCCUUCUUGUAACUCAAUAUCAACAUGGUGUUGGUAUAAAACUUGCAUAUCAAGUUAUCCAAGGGCAUAAUGUGAUUCUGAUCAACUAACUUUGUUAUAAGUUAUAACAUAAACCAACACAUACGUUUAUAUAUUUAUUGACCACUCAAGAGUAAUAAAAGACAUAACACAUGAAGUCUGCAACAUGUUGUCUGCAAUUCAAAUUGUUGAAGUUUUCUUGUAGGGUUCAGCUAGUGGCAUCUUGAUAAUAUUUGCAGAGUCUUUCAAGUCGAAGGAGGAGAGCGAGUGCGGCGGGAGAACAAACAUAAG